UACGGGGGGGGCAAGCGUUGUUCGGAAUUACUGGGCGUAAAGGGCUCGUAGGCGGCCAACUAAGUCAGACGUGAAAUCCCUCGGCUUAACCGGGGAACUGCAUCUGAUACUGGAUGGCUUGAGUUCGGGAGAGGGAUGCGGAAUUCCAGGUGUAGCGGUGAAAUGCGUAGAGAUCAGGAGGAACACCCGUGGCGAAGGCGGCCCUCUGGCUCGACCCUGACGCUGAGGCGCGAAAGCGUGGGAGCGAACGGG
rnacentral:rRNA from 1 species